UUUUAUCCCCUAAAUAAUUUUCAUACUAUGCUUAGUAGUUUCAUUGUAUUUUCAAAUAUGUUCACAAAUGAUAUGAGAUUUUCAGAUGUACUUUGAAAAUAUCUAAAUUUAAAAUCUAGAAUUAGUCUAACAAGACUAAAAAUACACUUAUGCAUAGUUGAAGACUGGACUAAUUAAUGAAAAGAAGUAUUUACACCAUGUAGGACAAGCUGAAAGAUUAAAGGACAGUAAAAGUUGAAGUACUGAUCUUACUUUAUUAAAAACUUCAACAGAAAUUCCAGGAAUUUCUGAAACCAAUUGUCUGGACAAUGGUUCUAUCUUUGUACAGACACAGCAAAAUCCUGUCUAUUCAGUAAUCUCUAGGCCUAUCUCAUUUCUACUUUUGGGGGCAGGUAGUUGAGAAGGUGUCUUCAAGAUUUUGGGAAUGGAGUAAAUGUAGCCCUAAAAUCUGAGUCUGCUCUACCUGCUGAGUAUGAAAUAAAAAUCAAGUAUAUUUUCAAUAUCCCAAAACAGAAGUCAAUGAAAUAACUCCAUACAAAUGUAAGAUGGUCUUAAUGUAGACACAAAUUAGUCUUAAUGGAGACACAAUUUAACCAAAAGAAUCUGUAUUUCUCAAGCCUUUUUUCUACAUGAGGUCCCUGACAUCCCACUAUGAAGAUUCUGGAUUUAUCUUAAGGUUCUAAUAUAACCUACUGUCUUCCACUUUCAGUGCUGCUUUCCACCCAGCAUAUCCCUCUCAUCACGGCAGCAUCCUAAAAUACAAUGAUUUCAUGAAAAUAUUUAAUCCUACAGACCUCCAAAAUGUCUAUAUUAUAUCUAUAGCAAGUGAGAGACAGAUACUGUGAAAAACAUAUAUACUGUUUUAUGAAAGAAGAGAUGAAUAGGAAUAAGACAGGCAUGAGAGGUAGGGAAGUGAUAGUGUCGAGCAGUGAUAACAAGAGAAGAUUACUGAGUAGGCUGCACAAAGGGAUAGCUAUAUGGAGCAGGACAUUAACUUUUAUAAACUGUAUUGCUAAUGCCAUAUGUAUUUAAAAAUAGACUAUGAAAAAUACCAUUUAUUUAACAAACAUAGCGUCUGCUUUGUGCCAGGUACUGUUCUAAGUACUCUAAAAAUAUUAACCCAUUUAAUCUUCCUAAUAAUUCCAGUGGGAUAGAUAAAGCAUUUCAUAUGAUAGAAGAAGUCAGUUAGGCAAAGAGAAUAAAUAGCCCAUGGUCACAGUAUCACUCAGUGUCCAGUCAGGAAAAGAAAAACACUUUGGGUAUUUCACAGGGAAUGUUAUUACCUCUACUACUGAGGAAAUCCUUACAGAAGGGCUGAAGGAGCAAAAGGGUGGUGGUAUUGUUAUCCAGAGGUAACUACAAGAAGAGCUACUACCAUCCUAGCACUGAGGGGACAAAAGAGAAAGUGGUAUUAUGCAAAAGCCACAAAUGCUGUGCUUCUGAGGCUUUUGGAACAAAAUUGUUGCAUGGUUAAACUGCUCCCUGCUUCUCAGGAAGCCAGCUGACUUCAGGAGGCUCCCUACUCGUGGAGGCAGAGAAGCACAGUGCUGCUGAGGCUACUGGAGCCUGAAGAAGAAAAAUGCCUUCUUGUCUUCCUCUUGCUUUUUGAUCUCCCAGUAGCAAAACUGAAUGAGAGACCAACUGACAAAUUGAACAAAAUUGCCUGGGAAGGAUUUAAACUGGCUUGGCUUGAAUUAUGUACCCACCCACUGAACUGCAUUGUAGCCAAGGGGUGGGUUUGUGGAAAUAACCUAGUGGAAAUGCCCACUAUAAUCCUGAGAGAAGGACUUGAGUGCAGUUAGUUUAUCGGGAGAAUUCAGGAAACACCUGUUGGGAGGUGGGGAAGUAAGAUAAAGAAGGGAAAGCAGUAAAUAAAGGGUGCCUUACCAAGUCAGCUACCACUAGUAAUGAGUAAAGCACAGCACCACUGGAAAACUCAGGGAAAUGGUAUGAAAUACAUGCCUUGAAGUUAUCCCAUGUGCGGGUCAAAAAGCCGGAUUAGCUAUAGAACAUUGAAUAAGGGGUGCUAAGGUGGGAGAUUGAUAAUUCUCAAGCACUUCCAAAUUGCCCUAUUACAGGACUUUCUUCCACCCUUAGGAGAAAAUCCUCAGGCAAAGGGAUGCAGACACUGGCACCUGAAAAUCUGCCCCAGAAAAUUAAAGUGGUAAAAGCCAGAGAGGUAUAGACUGGGAUCUAUAGGGCCUACUAUUUAUUUAUUAGAUAAAAAUUUCUUCUGCACAGUUAUGAUUUCCAAAUAUUUCAUGCUUGUAAAAGAGUUUUAUAAAGUAGAAAGUAUGAUACAAAGAGUUAUUGUCUAGAAGUUUCUUGAUGGCAGGGCAUGUGUAUCAUGUUUUAUAUCUUAGAGAACCUAGUAAGUACAGUACUAUACAUGUCAUUGGCUCAGAUAUUCACUGAGUGAAUUUGUCAAUUUGAUUAAUACCUGAACAUAUUUUCUAAGUUUACAAAGGUGAAAUUAUUUUUAAACUUUCAUUAAAAUAAGUAACUCAUUUCUAACUUUUGAAAGAAUUUUUGUUUUCAUAAUUUUAAGUAGUAUAGUCUUGUUCUAUUCCUUCUAUCGUAUUUCUUAAAUCUAGACCAUUGUAGGUAACUGUUAAUUGCUCACCCAACAAUCACUCUCUUUUCUUACUACUGUAAAAAAUACCUUGAUUAGGAGUAACUUAUUGACAGAUUUUUGUUGGUUCCAACCAAUUGUGAGAAUGCUACUCCAAGUA